AACGAACGCUGGCGGCAGGCCUAACACAUGCAAGUCGAACGCCCUAGCAAUAGGGAGUGGCAGACGGGUGAGUAACACGUGGGAACCUUCCCUAUAGUACGGAAUAGCUCAGGGAAACUUGAAGUAAUACCGUAUACGCCCGAGAGGGGAAAGAUUUAUCGCUAUAGGAUGGGCCCGCGUCGGAUUAGCUAGUUGGUGAGGUAAUGGCUCACCAAGGCGACGAUCCGUAGCUGGUUUGAGAGAACGACCAGCCACACUGGGACUGAGACACGGCCCAGACUCCUACGGGAGGCAGCAGUGGGGAAUAUUGGACAAUGGGCGCAAGCCUGAUCCAGCCAUGCCGCGUGAGUGAUGAAGGCCUUAGGGUUGUAAAGCUCUUUUAGCAGGGAAGAUAAUGACUGUACCUGCAGAAUAAGCUACCGGCUAACUUCGUGCCAGCAGCCGCGGUAAU
rnacentral:rRNA from 1 species